AUCCAGUCCAGACCCAUACAUCAAUCAUCAGGAUCCUGUCACUAUCACUGUGAAAGAGAGACCUGUGGCUGUUCUGACCCUCCAACCCAUCUGGCCCCAGAUAUUCAGUGGGGAGACUGUCACUCUCAGUUGUGACAUUCAAGGGGGAGAAGAGAUUGAGUAUGUUUUUUAUAACAGUGGGAAGUCGGUCUUCAUCAAAACAGAGCCUGAGUACAGAAUCAGUCCUGCAAAGAAUGGUCUAUAUACCUGUGAAGGUCUUCAGAAAAGAAAUGGCUUAAAACACUCCCAGACAAGUAAUGCUAUACAAUUGACAGUGUUAGAUAAACCCCAAGCUGUCCUGAGUGUCUCUCCUCAGUGGCUGAACCCUGGAGACUCAGUUACUCUGAGCUGUUGGGUUAAAGAGUCAUCUACAGGCUGGAGGUUCUUCUGGUACCAAACUGUUCCCUACACAGCUGGGUUACUCUCCCUGUCGACAGGUCCUACUCUGUAGAGCUUCUAUCUGGCAGUGGGACUAGUGAAGACUCCUACACUCUGAUCCCUGCUGGUCCUAGUCACACAG